AUAGAUACCCUGGUAGUCCACGCCGUAAACGAUGAGUGCUAAGUGUUAGAGGGUUUCCGCCCUUUAGUGCUGCAGCUAACGCAUUAAGCACUCCGCCUGGGGAGUACGGUCGCAAGACUGAAACUCAAAGGAAUUGACGGGGGCCCGCACAAGCGGUGGAGCAUGUGGUUUAAUUCGAAGCAACGCGAAGAACCUUACCAGGUCUUGACAUCCCACUGACCGGUAUAGAGAUAUACCUUUCCCUUCGGGGACAGUGGUGACAGGUGGUGCAUGGUUGUCGUCAGCUCGUGUCGUGAGAUGUUGGGUUAAGUCCCGCAACGAGCGCAACCCUUGAUCUUAGUUGCCAGCAUUUAGUUGGGCACUCUAAGGUGACUGCCGGUGACAAACCGGAGGAAGGUGGGGAUGACGUCAAAUCAUCAUGCCCCUUAUGACCUGGGCUACACACGUGCUACAAUGGAUGGUACAAAGGGCUGCAAGACUGCGAAGUCAAGCCAAUCCCAUAAAACCAUUCUCAGUUCGGAUUGCAGG
rnacentral:rRNA from 1 species